UGCGUGCCUAAUACAUGCAAGUCGAGCGAACGGACGAGAAGCUUGCUUCUCUGAUGUUAGCGGCGGACGGGUGAGUAACACGUGGAUAACCUACCUAUAAGACUGGGAUAACUUCGGGAAACCGGAGCUAAUACCGGAUAAUAUUUUGAACCGCAUGGUUCAAAAGUGAAAGACGGUCUUGCUGUCACUUAUAGAUGGAUCCGCGCUGCAUUAGCUAGUUGGUAAGGUAACGGCUUACCAAGGCAACGAUGCAUAGCCGACCUGAGAGGGUGAUCGGCCACACUGGAACUGAGACACGGUCCAGACUCCUACGGGAGGCAGCAGUAGGGAAUCUUCCGCAAUGGGCGAAAGCCUGACGGAGCAACGCCGCGUGAGUGAUGAAGGUCUUCGGAUCGUAAAACUCUGUUAUUAGGGAAGAACAUAUGUGUAAGUAACUGUGCACAUCUUGACGGUACCUAAUCAGAAAGCCACGGCUAACUACGUGCCAGCAGCCGCGGCAAUACGUAGGUGGCAAGCGUUAUCCGGAAUUAUUGGGCGUAAAGCGCGCGUAGGCGGUUUUUUAAGUCUGAUGUGAAAGCCCACGGCUCAACCGUGGAGGGUCAUUGGAAACUGGAAAACUUGAGUGCAGAAGAGGAAAGUGGAAUUCCAUGUGUAGCGGUGAAAUGCGCAGAGAUAUGGAGGAACACCAGUGGCGAAGGCGACUUUCUGGUCUGUAACUGACGCUGAUGUGCGAAAGCGUGGGGAUCA
rnacentral:rRNA from 1 species